rnacentral:rRNA from 1 species
CAGCCGCCACGGUAAUACGUAGGGUGCGAGCGUUAAUCGGAAUUACUGGGCGUAAAGCGUGCGCAGGCGGUUGUGUAAGACAGGUGUGAAAUCCCCGGGCUUAACCUAGGAACUGCGCUUGUGACUGCACAGCUAGAGUAUGGCAGAGGGGGGUGGAAUUCCACGUGUAGCAGUGAUAUGCGUAGAGAUGUGGAGGAACACCGAUGGCGAAGGCAGCCCCCUGGGCCAAUACUGACGCUCAUGCACGAAAGCGUGGGGAGCAAACAGGAUUAGAUACCCCUGUAGUCCCUGUCUCUUAUAA